GCUUGGUGAGGAAAGCAGACACAGACUCCAGCCGGCCACUGUGAUGGGCAUUGCCCAGGAGUAACAAGGCAGUGGCAUAAAGAAGGGGAGCCAGUGCUAGGGGCAUUCAGGUGUGGUGGACCUCUUGCCAGUGCCAGCCUUGGCACACACUGACCAUGUCUGCGUUUGUCUGGCAGUCCUCCAUGAAUGCCAUGGGCUCCCUUUCCAUCCUGUCGCCGGACCGGGUCCUCCCACAGCUCAUCAGCACCAUCACUGCCUCCGUGCAGAACCCUGCACUGCGCCUGGUGACGCGGGAGGAGUUUGCCAUUAUGCAGACCCCUGCUGGGGAGCUGUAUGACAAAUCCAUCAUUCAGAGUGCCCAGCAGGACAGCAUAAAAAAGGCCAACAUGAAGCGAGAGAACAAAGCUUAUUCCUUCAAAGAGCAGAUCAUCGAGCUGGAGCUGAAGGAGGAGAUAAAGAAGAAGAAAGGCAUCAAAGAGGAGGUGCAGCUGACCAGCAAGCAGAAGGAGAUGCUGCAGGCCCAGCUAGACAGGGAGGCGCAGGUCCGGAGGCGGCUGCAGGAGCUGGAUGGGGAGCUGGAGGCGGCGCUUGGACUGCUGGACAUCAUCCUGGCCAAGAACCCGUCCGGCCUGACCCAGUACAUCCCCGUUUUGGUCGACUCUUUUCUGCCCUUGCUGAAGUCUCCCCUGGCUGCUCCCAGGAUCAAGAACCCCUUCUUGUCCUUGGCUGCCUGUGUCAUGCCCUCUAGGCUCAAGGCUUUGGGCACUUUGGUGAGCCACGUGACCCUGCGCCUGCUGAAGCCAGAGUGUGCCCUGGAUAAGUCCUGGUGCCAGGAAGAGCUGUCGGUGGCUGUGAAGAGGGCGGUGACGCUGCUGCACACCCACACCAUCACCAGCAGGGUGGGCAAGGGGGAGCCAG
rnacentral:sRNA from 1 species